AACGAACGUUAGCGGCGCGCCUAACACAUGCAAGUCGCACGAGAAAGGGCUUCGGCCCCGGUACAGUGGCGCACGGGUGAGUAACACGUAGGUAAUCUUCCCUCGAGUGGUGGAUAAUCCUCCGAAAGGAGGGCUAAUACAGCAUGAGACCACGGCUUCUUCGGAAGCUGAGGCCAAAGCGGGCCUCUUAAUUAAAGCUCGCGCUUGAGGAUGAGCCUGCGGCCCAUCAGCUAGUUGGCGGUGUAACGGACCACCAAGGCAUAGACGGGUAGCUGGUCUGAGAGGAUGGACAGCCACACUGGAACUGAGACACGGUCCAGACUCCUACGGGAGGCAGCAGUGGGGAAUCUUGCGCAAUGGGCGAAAGCCUGACGCAGCGACGCCGCGUGAGUGAUGAAGG
rnacentral:rRNA from 1 species